rnacentral:rRNA from 1 species
CCUACGGGAGGCAGCAGUAGGGAAUAUUGCUCAAUGGGGGAAACCCUGAAGCAGCAACGCCGCGUGGAGGAUGAAGGUUUUCGGAUUGUAAACUCCUUUUGUUAGAGAAGAUAAUGACGGUAUCUAACGAAUAAGCACCUGCUAACUCCGUGCCAGCAGCCGCGGUAAUACGGAGGGUGCAAGCGUUACUCGGAAUCACUGGGCGUAAAGAGCGCGUAGGCGGGAUAGCAAGUCAGAUGUGAAAUCCUAUGGCUUAACCAGAGAACUGCAUUUGAAACUGUUAUUCUAGAGUAUGGGAGAGGUAGGUGGAAUUCUUGGUGUAGGGGUAAAAUGCGUAGAGAUCAAGAGGAAUACUCAUUGCGAAGGCGACCUGCUAGAACAUAACUGACGCUGAUGCGCGAAAGCGCGGGGAGCAAACAGGAUUAGAUACCCUGGUAGUC